rnacentral:ribozyme from 1 species
CAAAAGGUAGAUAAGUAGUUUAAAGAGACGUCCCAUUGUCGUGUCCUGCUCAUUUUGCCCGUUGUUUUUUUUUUUUUUUUUUU